AUUGAACGCUGGCGGCAGGCUUAACACAUGCAAGUCGAGCGAGCGGCGGACGGGUGAGUAAUGUCUGGGAAACUGCCCGAUGGAGGGGGAUAACUACUGGAAACGGUAGCUAAUACCGCAUACCAUCAGACGUGCCCAGAUGGGAUUAGCUAGUAGGUGGGGUAAGGGCGCACCUAGGCGACGAUCCCUAGCUGGUCUGCGAGGAUGACAAGCCACACUGGAACUGUGACACGGCCGAGAAUGAUAAGGGAAGCAGCAGAGGGGAAUAUUGCACACAGGGGGAAAGCCUGAUGGAGCCAUGCCGCGUGUGAGAAGAAGACCUGCGGGUUGGAAAGCACUUUCAGCGGGGAGGCGUUACACGCAGAAGAAGCACCAGCUGACUACGUGCCAGCAGCCGCGGUUAUUC
rnacentral:rRNA from 1 species